GACGAACGCUGGCGGCGUGCUUAACACAUGCAAGUCGAACGGAAAGGCCCUGCUUUUGUGGGGUGCUCGAGUGGCGAACGGGUGAGUAACACGUGAGUAACCUGCCCUUGACUUUGGGAUAACUUCAGGAAACUGGGGCUAAUACCGGAUAGGAGCUCCUGCUGCAUGGUGGGGGUUGGAAAGUUUCGGCGGUUGGGGAUGGACUCGCGGCUUAUCAGCUUGUUGGUGGGGUAGUGGCUGACCAAGGCUUUGACGGGUAGCCGGCCUGAGAGGGUGACCGGCCACAUUGGGACUGAGAUACGGCCCAGACGGCUACGGGAGGCAGCAGUGGGGAAUAUUGCACAAUGGGCGGAAGCCUGAUGCAGCAACGCCGCGUGCGGGAUGACGGCCUUCGGGUUGUAAACCGCUUUCGCCGGUGACGAAGCGGGAGUGACGGUAAUGGGUAAAGAAGCACCGGCUAACUACGUG
rnacentral:rRNA from 1 species